UUUUUUCCUGUUGCCUAGUGGAUGAAGACACUCUUUCACUUCCUGCUUGCCUCUGUGGGGAUGGACACAAGAGGGCUGAGAGGUACAGUCCUUGCCCCCCAAUUCCUGAGGAUAUUCCGGGAAAAGAGAAGACAGCGAUGGCUUGAGAGGGCCUAGGAGCCAAGGGCCAUGGUUCUUACCGAAGUGCAGAAAGACCUUCUGCUCCUUCCUCUCCAUGAGCAGCUGGUCGUGGGACAGGAGGUCUGCAUACUGCUGCUGCUUGAUUUUCUGGACAAUGGUUUCUGCCUCCUGGAGCAGGGACACAGCCAGGCCUCCAGUGAGACAUCCCCGCUUUGCCAACAUGAGGCCCGUUACCACCCGCCUGCCCACACCACCCAGGACCUGGAACCCCCGAGGCCACACCAGAGCCUGGUCCCACGGCUGCCAGGUUUGUUUUGGGGCCAUGGAAGGAGCCGAAAUCCCAGCUCCCUGACUCUGUGGGCAUCGGCAGGAGCGCCAGCCGCCUGGAAUCCAGCGGUCCUCCCUCCUGAGACUGUUACCUCUGCUCCGGCAAAUGCCCUUGGCCAACCUCCUGGGAGAGGAGAAGGAAGACAUGAGCACAACGGGCACCCUUGGCAGGUGGCGCAAUGUGAUCCAUAAAGCGGAGAUGGAGAAAAGCAGAACGGCUUCGUCUGGAGUGGGAGACUCGGCAGUGGCAGGACCGGGGCCGAGGGGGGCACCCCUCCACCACCAGAGGAAAGCUGGGUUUCCAGCCGAAUGGCCUGCAGCCUUGGGAUCCUCAGAGGGGUGGAGGGAGGAGGCUGCUGGUUGGCCAUCCUGCUAGGAUGACCCCCACCCCCACCCCUGGGGACUCAUCGGUCACCCCGCGGGCCUGGCAGACAACACCAUCAGAAGCAGCCAGAAGUCUGGGGAAGAUUUAGACAAAGGAGCCCGGGGCUGGGCGCGCUGCCAUCCUCCCCCACCCCAGCUAACCAGGUUCCUGGUGGGACCAAAUGCCUCACUGAGACCCCUUUUUUUCUUCUGACUUUCAAUCUAUCCUAGACUCGGGGUUCUCAAAACAUGUUCCCCAAACAGCAGCAGCAUCUCCUGGGAGUUGUUGGAAGUGCAAAUUCUCAGGCCCCACCCUGGAGCUGCGAAUCAGGAAUUCUAGAGGCGGGGCCCAGGAAUCUGGGUGAAACAAGCCCUCGGAGUCAGGGGUAGGCAAACGCCGGCCCCAUGCCAGGUGAAAAUGAUUUUUAUGUUUUUAAAUAGUUGGGGGAAAAAAAUCAAAAUAAGGUUUUGUGGCACAUUAAAGUGAUAUGAAAUUCAAAUAGGAGUCCAUAAAUAAGAUUUUAUUGGAACACAGCUACGCCCACACGGUUGAGUAGUUGCAAGAGAGGCUGCAUGACCUGCAGAGCCGAAAUAUAUCCUGGCUGGCCUUUUAGAGACAAGAUUUGCCAACUCCUGCUCUCGGGCAUUCUGACACAUGCAGAAGUCUGAGAACCCGCUCUGGUCAACACAUUAGCUUGAGCCGUACGUAUCGGGUGCUUGAAAAGUGGCAGGUCCCACCGAAGGACGGCUGUGAGUGUACAGAUGCAUCAGCAUUGUGAGUCUCAGCAAGAAAAACAGAAUGUGAAAUAUUGAAUCAUUUUUAUAUCGAAUACCUAUUGAAAUGGUAAUAUUUUGAGUGAACGAUGUUUCGAUUAAAUCUUAUGAAAACCGACUUCUCGGUUUCCUCUUUCCUGAAUGUGGCUCCUAGAAAAUUCGUAACCACCGAUGCAGCUCUCAAUCUGUCUGGGCUGGACAGCACUGCAUGGAGCCUAAGUGGAAGGACCUCAAGGAUCAUCCACCUGCCUCCCCAAUGGGUGGCCCUGCUCCGCUGCGCCCAGGAGGCCUCUCCUUUCCAGCUUUCUCCCCAUCCUGCAGUGUGACCUGAGUUUAAAUCCCUGCCUUCCAGUUUCCUGCCACUGCGCUUGGGACAGGUUAAGGAACAUCAUGGUUGGGGCAGCCCGGGUGGCUCAGCGGCUUAGCGCCGCCUUCAGUCCAGGGUGUGAUCCUGGAGACCCGGGAUCGAGUCCCGCAUCAGGCUCCCUGCAUGGAGCCUGCGUCUCCCUCUGCCUGUGUC